UGCGUAGGUGGUUGAAUAAGUUGGGUGUGAAAGUCCUGGGCUUAACCUGGGGAUUGCGCUCAAUACUGUUUAGCUAGAGUACUGUAGAGGAAGGUGGAAUUUCCAGUGUAGCGGUGAAAUGCGUAGAUAUUGGAAGGAACAUCUGUGGCGAAGGCGACCUUCUGGACAGAUACUGACACUGAGGCACGAAAGCGUGGGAGGCAAACA
rnacentral:rRNA from 1 species